CUAAAGAAAUUAUCCACUCUGACAGAUACAUGGACGGAGAACAACUAACAGAUGAAGAUGAGAAAAUUGUGGCAGAGAGGCUUCUUGCGUAUCAUCCGAAUUCUGAUGAUAAAAUAGGAUGUGGGCUUGAUUCUAUAAUGGUGUUAACCUGGUGAGAAUGAAUGUCAUUUAUAAAGUUGUCUUUGCCAAAUCCCUUUCAGAUGGUAGUGUGCAUAGGUUGACCGUCAUCCCCAAUUUAAAAACUCCAGGUGCCUGUUUGUUGUAAGAACUGAUGGUGGAUGGAUAGACUUCUCCUAUCAGAAGUGCCUGCGAGCAUACAUUCGAUCCAAGUACCCAACUCAUGCAGAAAGAUUCAUUAAAGAACAUUUUAAACGUGGCAGUUGAUGAUGAUUAUAACCCGGGCCACGGGCCAGAUUGUCUUUAACCCAAACAUAGAAACAGACUCAAAACGAGCCCACUUAUUUCACGAAGAGAUAAAUGGGCCCAUCGAGUUACCGAUGGCACAAUACAAGCUUAGUUACCAUCCACUCCCAGACCCUAAAAUGGCCGCAUCUGCACUUCUCAGUCAGCUCCUGCGGCUCCGGCUCCACCACCACCACCGCUUCGCCACCGGAUUACUAGUGCCACUUCGGAGAUCAUGGUGUUCGACUGCGGAGUAUAUUCGAAUGGAAGAGGAUGAUAUAUCUGUUUUGAUUGACACAGUGUCGAGCUUGUGCGAGGCAGCAAAGUAUUCAAGUUGGGAAGAGCAAAAUUACCGACAGUGGAAAGAUAAAGAAGCAGAGAUUUGGAGAGAUAUCGAACCUAUAGCUCACCUCGCUAAAGACAUUCUCCACUCUAACAGAUAUAAGGAUGGAGAACAACUAACAGAUGAAGAUGAGAAAGCUGUGGCAGGUAGGCUUCUUGUUUAUCAUCCGAAUUGUGAUGAUAAAGUAGGGUGUGGGCUUGAUUCUAUAGCGGAUAAAGAUAGAAAUGAGAAAGGGAAGAAAGGGCACAAGAGUAGAUGAAGAGGGGAAGGGAAAGAUUGAAAGAAUAGCAGGGAAAAAAAAACACCCUCAAUUUUUAAUAACCAUCCAACUCACCCCACUACUAAUACUAGGUUAUGGCCUUCAUAUAGGCACUUCAACCCUAACGAAACACUAGAAUAAUAUGAUAAAGUUCCAAGCAAAAUAAAAACUCUAAUCAAUACCAAAUAUCACAAUAAUCUAAACAGUUAGAUUCACUACAUUACAUGCAAAUAAAAUAGAAUGACAUCUUGAGCUUUCCUAGAUAAUAUUCUUAAAGAUCUUCUGUUGCUUCUCCACCAUUGGUUUAUUGACAUUUGCAUGCACAUAACAAUUUAGAGGCUGGAAGAAUCCAUCAUAUGGACGCAUGCAAGUAGAAUACUGCUUCUAUUUUAUAUCUCAAUAGAAUUAAAUAGACUUCAAAACAGUUCUUAAAACUUAUUGCUCAUAGCUCACCACGAAUCCAUUGUUAUUCUUUUCCUAAUGUAUAAUGGAUGUUUUCUGCCCCAAAUUGAUUAUAUUUUGCUUUCACUUUUUCAUAUGGACUAUGCUGCCUAUCCCUUUGGAGUGACCUAUGUGUUAUUGUCCGGCACUCCAUAGAGAGUUAAUAUUCUUUUGAUGCUUGGUAAUGAGAUUUUUAAAAAUUGGAAUUUCCCAUGCAUCUUUGCAACACAGCUGGAAACUUUUGAUGCGUGACCAGUUGGAUUCUUCUUGCUUGACUAUGCUAUCUAUCUCUUUGAAUUUUCCCACGAGUCCCAGUUUUUGGGUUUCUCGUUUUGUCCCUUGCAACGUAAGUGAAAAGUCAUGGAAGAAAUUGACAGAUACAUGCAUCAGUCUCUCUGUUCUUGUUAAUGUCUUGCGUGCACCUUUUGCCUAGAAGAUCUGCAGGGUUUUGGUCCACACAUGGUCAGCAUGUAUGUAGGUCAGUAGAUAAAAAUCUUUUAACAGGUGCCUCCUUCAUUUGUUUUGCUGGUCCCUCAUUUCUUUUUGUUUGCAGAGGGCAUUUGUACCAGUAGAGCUAUUUGUUCGCUUCAAGUCAAAUGCCAGCUAUUGUGGCCAGAAUUGGACUCACCCGUCAUUUUCUCCUUUGUGUUGAUCGUCAUUCCCAUUUUAAAACGUCAAGGUGCCUGUUUGUUGUAAGAUCUGAUGGUGGAUGGAUAGACUUCUCCUAUAGGAAGUGUCUGCGAGCAUACAUUCAAUUCAAGUACCCAACUCAUGCAGAAAGAUUCAUUAAAGAACAUUUUAAACAUGGCCUGAUGAUGGUUACAACCCGGGCGGUUACCUGAUACUCCAUCUGCAAUUUUCUUCUUUCUUUUGUC